CCAAUCGGAUUGCAGAAGGGUCUGACCCAAACUCAUCCAUCUUGGACAGACAACAGGAUGUGGGCAAGUUGUCUCGCCAACCAGGCCACAGCACCCGUCAAUAGAUCAUUUCCACGGGAACGCGACACCGAGCUUCCCCUCCAACAGGCCAGGGGAGUACCAAGAAGAAACGCAUCCACGUCAGAUCCGAAUAUGUUCCAUAGAUCUUUAUCAAUAUAACCCAUCCGCUGUGGGAACCCAAAGAAUUCCCCG
rnacentral:lncRNA from 1 species